UCUGGUUGAUCCUGCCACUAGUUAUAUGCUUGUCUCAAAGAUUAAGCCAUGCAUGUCUAAGUACACACGAAUUAAAAGUGAAACCGCAAAAGGCUCAUUAUAUCAGUUAUGGUUCCUUAGAUCGUUAACAGUUACUUGGAUAACUGUGGUAAUUCUAGAGCUAAUACAUGCAUUAUAAACACGGACCUUUGGGACGUGUGCUUUUAUUAGGCUAAAACCAAGCGAUCGCAAGAUCGUUAUUAUGGUUGAACUCUAGAUAACUUGCAGAUCGUAUGGUCUUGUACCGACGACAGAUCUUUCAAAUGUCUGCCCUAUCAACUUUUGAUGGUAGUAUCUAGGACUACCAUGGUUGCAACGGGUAACGGGGAAUCAGGGUUCGAUUCCGGAGAGGGAGCCUGAGAAACGGCUACCACAUCUAAGGAAGGCAGCAGGCGCGUAAAUUACCCACUCCCAGCCCGGGGAGGUAGUGACGAAAAAUAACAAUACAGGACUCAUUAUAGAGGCCCUGUAAUUGGAAUGAGUACACUUUAAAUCCUUUAACAAGGGCCUAUUGGAGGGCAAGUCUGGUGCCAGCAGCCGCGGUAACUCCAGCUCCAAUAGCGUAUAUUAAAGUUGUUGCGGUUAAAACGUUCGUAGCUGAACUUGUGCUUCAUACGGGUAGUAUAACUAUAAUUGUAGUCUGUACUAUACCUUAUGUAUGUAAGCGUAUUACCGGUGGAGUUCUUAUAUAUAUUAAAUACUUGUAUUUAUAUGUAUUCCUCCUAUUUAAACCUGCUUCAGUGCUCUUCAUUGCGUGCUGUUGUAGGCCGGUACAAUUACUUUGAACAAAUUAGAGUGCUUAAAGCAGGCUCCAAAUGCCUGAAUAUUUUGUGCAUGGAAUAAUGAAAUAAGACCUCUGUUCUACUUUCAUUGGUUUUUAGAUCAAGAGGUAAUGAUUAAUAGAAGCAGUUUGGGGGCAUUAGUAUUACGACGCGAGAGGUGAAAUUCUUGGACCGUCGUAAGACUAACUUAAGCGAAAGCAUUUGCCAAAGAUGUUUUCAUUAAUCAAGAACGAAAGUUAGAGGUUCGAAGGCGAUCAGAUACCGCCCUAGUUCUAACCAUAAACGAUGCCAGCUAGCAAUUGGGUGUAGCUACUAUUAUGGCUCUCUCAGUCGCUUCCCGGGAAACCAAAGCUUUUGGGCUCCGGGGGAAGUAUGGUUGCAAAGCUGAAACUUAAAGGAAUUGACGGAAGGGCACCACCAGGAGUGGAGCCUGCGGCCUAUUUUGACCCAACACGGGAAAACUUACCAGGUCCGAACAUAAGCGUGUAAGACAGAUUGAUAGCUCUUUCUCGAAUCUAUGGGUGGUGGUGCAUGGCCGUUCUUAGUUCGUGGAGUGAUUUGUCUGGUUAAUUCCGAUAACGAACGAGACUCAAAUAUAUUAAAUAGAUGCUUUCAGGAUUAUGGUGUUUGAAGCUUUUAUAGCCUUCAUUCAUGAAUGCAG
rnacentral:rRNA from 1 species